GCCCACUUGGCGCAGUGGUACCGCGUAGCACUGUAAGUAACUCUACCUUCAAACAACGUCAAUCACAACUAACACUCAACAGCGUAUCCUCGAAUACGGAAAUGCUAAGAUCAUUGGUUCGAUUCCAGUAGUGGGCA
rfam:Botryotinia fuckeliana T4 unplaced genomic scaffold BcT4_SuperContig_J_V3_C__V4, whole genome shotgun sequence.